rnacentral:rRNA from 1 species
AGGUAGCGAAAUUCCUUGUCGGGUAAGUUCCGACCCGCACGAAAGGCGUAACGAUCUGGGCGCUGUCUCAACAAGAGACUCGGUGAAAUCAUAGUACCUGUGAAGAUGCAGGUUACCCGCGACAGGACGGAAAGACCCCGUGGAGCUUUACUGUAGCUUGAUAUUGAGCACUGGUGACACAUGUACAGGAUAGGUAGGAGACGAAGAAGCCAGGACGCCAGUCUUGGUGGAGUCGCUGUUGGGAUACUACCCUUGUGUCACUGGGGUUCUAACCCGUGGCCCUUAUCGGGUCAGGGAACAGUGUCAGGUGGGCAGUUUGACUGGGGCGGUCGCCUCCCAAAGAGUAACGGAGGCGCCCAAAGGUUCCCUCAGAAUGGUUGGAAAUCAUUCGAAGAGUGUAAAGGCAGAAGGGAGCUUGACUGCGAGACCUACAAGUCGAGCAGGGACGAAAGUCGGGCUUAGUGAUCCGGCGGUACCGAAUGGAAGGGCCGUCGCUCAACGGAUAAAAGCUACCCCGGGGAUAACAGGCUGAUCUCCCCCAAGAGUUCACAUCGACGGGGAGGUUUGGCACCUCGAUGUCGGCUCAUCGCAUCCUGGGGCUGUAGUCGGUCCCAAGGGUUGGGCUGUUCGCCCAUUAAAGCGGUACGCGAGCUGGGUUCAGAACGUCGUGAGACAGUUCGGUCCCUAUCCGUCGUGGGCGUAGGAAAUUUGAGAGGAGCUGUCCUUAGUACGAGAGGACCGGGAUGGACACACCGCUGGUGUACCAGUUGUUCUGCCAGGAGCAUAGCUGGGUAGCUACGUGUGGACGGGAUAAACGCUGAAAGCAUCUAAGCGUGAAGCCCCCCUCAAGAUGAGAUUUCCCAUUCGAAAGAAGUAAGAUCCCUUGAAGACGACGAGGUUGAUAGGUCAGGAGUGGAAGUGUGGUGACACAUGGAGCGGACUGAUACUAAUCGAUCGAGGACUUAACCAA